rnacentral:lncRNA from 1 species
GUUGUUUCCGGCGCCGGAUUGGCCGAAGACGAAGUUGUCGGGGCGGAAGAUCUGGCCGAAGGGGCCCGAGCGCACGGAGUCCAUGGUCCCCGGCUCGAGGUCCAUGAGGACGGCGCGCGGGACGUAGCGUCCGCCGCUGGCCUCGUUGUAGUAGACGUUGAUGCGCUCGAGCUGGAGGUCGGAGUCGCCGGCGUACUUGCCGGUGUGGUCGAUGCCGUGCUCGUCGCAGAUCACCUCCCAGAACUUGGCCCCGAUCUGGUUCCCGCACUGCCCGCCC